AGCUCGUAGUUGGAGUUCUGUUGCGGAAAACUGGUCCGUCUAUCGGGCGGUAUUUAGAUUUUGCGUUUCAUCUUCUGAAAAGCUUGCUGUGCUUGAUUGCAUGGUGAGGGAAUCAGGACAUUUACUUUGAGGAAUUUAGAGUGUUUCAAGCAGGUUUGUGCUGAAAUAGCCUAGCAUGGAAUAAUAACAUGGGGUCUUGGUCUUGUUUGUUGGUUUCUAGGCUGAGGAAACAAUCAAUAGGGAUAGCUGGGGGCAUUUGUACUUAACUGUCAGAGGUGAAAUUCUUGGAUUUGUUAAAGACAAACUACUGCGAAAGCAUUUGUCAAGGAUGUUUUCAUUGAUCAAGAACGAAAGUUAAGGGAUCGAAGACGAUCAGAUACCGUCCUAGUCUUAACCAUAAACAAUGCCAUCUAGAGAUUGGAGGUAGUGCCAAGGAUUACUUCUUCAGCAUCAUUUGAGAAAUCAAAGCUUUUGGGUUCCGGGGGGAGUAUGGUCGCAAGGCUGAAACUUAAAGGAAUUGACGGAAGGGCACCACCAGGAGUGGAGCCUGCGGCUUAAUUUGACUCAACACGGGAAACUCACCAGAACCAGACAUAAACAGGAUUGACAGAUUGAUAGCUCUUUCUUGAUUUUAUGGGUGGUGGUGCAUGGCCGUUCUUAGUUGGUGGAGUGAUCUGUCUGGUUAAUUCCGUUAACGAACGAGACCUUGUCUUACUAAAUAGUUACAUGUAACUUUGGUUACAUGGGCAGCUUCUUAGGGGGAC
rnacentral:rRNA from 1 species